AUUGAACGCUGGCGGCAGGCUUAACACAUGCAAGUCGAACGAUGAUUAUCUAGCUUGCUAGGUAUGAUUAGUGGCGGACCGGUGAGGAACAUUUAGGAAUCUGCCUAGUAGAGGGGGAUAGCUCGGGGAAACUCCCCUCAUGUACCCCAUACUACCUACGCGUGAGAGGGCGCGCAAGCUCUGGCUAUGAGAUGAGCCUAACUCACAUUACCUAGUUGGUGGGGUAAAGGGCCACCAACGCGACGAUCUGUGACUGGCCUGAGAGGAUGAUCAGGCACACGGGAACUGAGACACGGUCCGGACUCCUACGGGAGGCAGCAGUGGGGAAUAUUGGACUAUGGGGGCAACCCUGAUCCUCCCAUGCCGCGUGUGUGAAGAAGGCCUGUUGCUUGUAAAGCACUUUAAGCAGGGAGGAGACGCUAAUGGUUAAUACCCAUUAGAUGAGACGUUACCUGCGGUGUACCCACCGGCUCACUCUGUGCCAGGCAGCCGCGGGCAUACUCAGGGUGCGAGCGCUUAUCGGAAUUACUGGGCGUAAAGCGAGUGUAGGGGGUUCAUAAAGUCACAUGUGAAAUCCCCGGGCUUAACCUGGGUAACUGCAUGUGAUACUGGUGGUGCUAGAAUAUGUGAGAGGGAAGUAGAAUUCCAGGUGUAGCGGUGAAAUGCGUAGAGAUCUGGAGGAAUACCGAUGGCGAAGGCAGCUUCCUGGCAUAAUAUUGACACUGAGAUUCGAAAGCGUGGGUAGCAAACAGGAUUAGAUACCCUGGUAGUCCACGCCGUAAACGAUGUCUACUAGCCGUUGGGGUCCUUGAGACUUUAGUGGCGCAGUUAACGCGAUAAGUAGACCGCCUGGGGAGUACGGCCGCAAGGUUAAAACUCAAAUGAAUUGACGGGGGCCCGCACAAGCGGUGGAGCAUGUGGUUUAAUUCGAUGCAACGCGAAGAACCUUACCUGGUCUUGACAUAGUGAGAAUCCUGCAGAGAUGCGGGAGUGCCUUCGGGAAUUCACAUACAGGUGCUGCAUGGCUGUCGUCAGCUCGUGUCGUGAGAUGUUGGGUUAAGUCCCGCAACGAGCGCAACCCUUUUCCUUAUUUGCCAGCGGGUUAAGCCGGGAACUUUAAGGAUACUGCCAGUGACAAACUGGAGGAAGGCGGGGACGACGUCAAGUCAUCAUGGCCCUUACGACCAGGGCUACACACGUGCUACAAUGGUAGGUACAGAGGGUUGCUACACAGCGAUGUGAUGCUAAUCUCAAAAAGCCUAUCGUAGUCCGGAUUGGAGUCUGCAACUCGACUCCAUGAAGUCGGAAUCGCUAGUAAUCGCAGAUCAGAAUGCUGCGGUGAAUACGUUCCCGGGCCU
rnacentral:rRNA from 1 species